UAGGGAAUCUUCCNCAAUGGACGCAAGUCUGACGGAGCAACGCCGCGUGAGUGAAGAAGGUUUUCGGAUCGUAAAACUCUGUUGUUAGAGAAGAACAAGUGCUAGAGUAACUGUUAGCGCCUUGACGGUACCUAACCAGAAAGCCACGGCUAACUACGUGCCAGCAGCCGCGGUAAUACGUAGGUGGCAAGCGUUGUCCGGAUUUAUUGGGCGUAAAGCGAGCGCAGGCGGUUCCUUAAGUCUGAUGUGAAAGCCCCCGGCUCAACCGGGGAGGGUCAUUGGAAACUGGGGAACUUGAGUGCAGAAGAGGAGAGUGGAAUUCCAUGUGUAGCGGUGAAAUGCGUAGAUAUAUGGAGGAACACCAGUGGCGAAGGCGACUCUCUGGUCUGUAACUGACGCUGAGGCUCGAAAGCGUGGGUAGCAAACAGGAUUAGAUACCCUGGUAGUCCACGCCGUAAACGAUGAGUGCUAAGUGUUGGAGGGUUUCCGCCCUUCAGUGCUGCAGUUAACGCAUUAAGCACUCCGCCUGGGGAGUACGACCGCAAGGUUG
rnacentral:rRNA from 1 species